AUGCAUUGGUUUGCUUGGUGUAAGAGGUGUGUGCCUAAGGACAGAGGGGGUCUAGGCUUUCUUGACAUCAGUAGCUUCAACCUUGCAAUGCUUGGCAAGCAGUGUUGGCGGCUAGUUGAAAAUUAUGACUCACUUUGUGCUAAGGUUUUGAGGUCCAAGUGUUUUCCCACGGGUGACAUCUUAAAUUGCCAGUUAAAAAAAGGAUCGUCAUAUGUGUGGGCAGAGUAUAUCGGCAGGUGUUCAAACUUUUAA
rnacentral:rRNA from 1 species